GCUUACGGCCAUACCACCCUGAAUGCGCCUGAUCUUGUCUGAUCUCGGAAGCUAAGCAGGGUCAGGCCUGGUUAGUACUUGGAUGGGUGACCACCUGGGAAUACCAGGUGCUGUAAGCU
rnacentral:rRNA from 1 species